rnacentral:rRNA from 1 species
GAAUUUUGGACCAUGGGCGAAAGCCUGAUCCAGCAAUGCCGCGUGCAGGAUGAAGGCCUUCGGGUUGUAAACUGCUUUUGUACGGAACGAAAAGCUUUGGGUUAAUACCCUGUAGUCAGGACGGUACCGUACGGAUAAGCACCGGCUAACUACGUGCCAGCAGCCGCGGUAAUACGUAGGGUGCAAGCGGUAAUCGGAAUUACUGGGCGUAAGCGAUCGCAAGCUGUUUUGGAAGGCAGAGGUGAAAUCCCCGGGCUCAACCUGGGAACUUCCUUUGUGACGGGAAGGCUAGAUGACGGCAGAGGGGGGUGGAAGUCCGCGUGUAGCAGUGAAAUGCGUAGAUAUGCGGAGGAACACCGAUGGCGAAGGCAACCCCCUGGGCCUGUACUGACGCUCAUGCACGAAAGCGUGGGGAGCAAACA